CCAAGGAAGGAUUCAUUCAUGAAUAUCUACUCCAACAACAACAACAACAACAACAACAACAACAACACACACAUGCCACAUUCUCCUCUUCACCACUCUGUUCCACCCACCUAACUUUUUCUUCUCAGAUCUCUUCUCUUCUCUUCUCUUCUCAGAUUUCAACAACUUCUCUGAACUCUCUCUCUCUCUCUCUCUCUCUCUCAAUGGGUGGUUCUCCGAGAAACCCACAACCAAAAGAUGAAGAAGAAGCACCACAGCUUGUGCGACCCUGUGACUACUGUGGUCACUCCACAGCAGUUCUCUACUGCAGAGCUGAUUCAGCGAAGCUCUGUUUCUCUUGUGACCGUGAAGUUCACUCCACAAACCAGCUUUUCUCAAAGCACACUCGCACUCUCCUCUGUGAUGCCUGCGAUGAUUCCCCUGCCACCAUACUCUGUUCCACAGACUCCUCUGUUUUCUGCCAGAAUUGUGACUGGGAGAAACACAACCCUUCGCUUUCUUCUGUGCACGAACGGAGGCCCCUUGAAGGGUUCACGGGGUGCCCUUCGGUUACUGAGCUCUUGUCGAUUAUGGGGUUUCAGGAUUUGGGGAAGAAAGAGCUUUUUGAUUCGAGUGGUGUUGCUGGGAAAACAGAGGAUGGGUUUCUGGGGUGUGAGAUUGAAGGGCUUUCUGAUUUGUUCGUUUGGGAUACUCCUUCUGUUUUUAGUCUUGAUGAUUUGAUUUCUUCUUCUGGUUCUUCUCAUAACUUUCAGGCUAUGGAGGUUCCUCCUCUACCCAAGAAUCGUAAGGCUGCAUGCGGGCGACACAAAGAAGAGAUUCUUAACCAGCUUCGCCAACUAACAAAGUCUGAGCCCUUGGAUCUUGAGCAGUAUGUGCCAACAGAAAAUCUGUCCACAGGUUUUGAAGGUGAAAUGGAGGCUGAUAUCUUUUCUUCCCAUGAGUGGCAUAGAGAAAGCAAUGAGACUAUGUAUCAAGUUGUUCCUCUUGAAUCGUCUUUGAGAACUUCUAACGAAGAAGUUUCAGUUAAACAUUCUACUUCUGCUGGUGGGGAGGCUCAUGCCUAUGGCAAUAAUGAAGGUCAACCUUCAAAUUCUAUCAAGUCUGAAACCUUACCAACCACUCCUAGACCUGUGCCAUAUGAGUUAGCGAGUCAAGAAAGGGAUUCUGCAUUAUUACGGUACAAGCAGAAGAAGAAAACAAGAAGAUAUGAGAAGCACAUAAGGUAUGAAUCACGAAAAGCUCGGGCAGAAAGCAGGAUAAGAAUUAGGGGCCGAUUUGCCAAAAUGGAACACUGAAAUCAUGGUAGGUUGCUAUGACAUCAUAACCAUUAUUAUUGGUUCAUAGCACAAGUUUUGUAACACGUUCCUUUUUAUAGUUAACUAUAUUUUGCGAGUGAUGUAUUGUUGGAUUCCGAGCUUGGAUAAUGCAGACACGUAUUCUUGCGAUGACUUUGACAAUGAUUUAUUUUCCUUAGCUCCAAAAUUGCAUCUGAGGAGGAUUAAAAGAGAUAUCAUAAGCAUCAUGUACAUACGGCGGGUGGACAUGGAACAUACAAGGAAGCAUUUUGCAAGCUACUGCAUUCUCCUGUUAUGUUAGAAGCUGCAGCUUGGAAGUUUUUUUUUUAAUACAAGAGCACUUGAAGUUAGUUGGUGUAUAAUGGAAAUUCUAUUUAUUUUUUACAGUUAAAUUAGUUUGGCCACUCCAUGUGGCACUUGCACAGUUGCACUUAUGUACUAUAAAGAACAGUAGUACUAUCAAUGAACAAUUCUCAUUUUCUGAUCCA